CCCGCCGGGGCGGGAGGGGGCGGCGGCCGGACUUGCAGAGCCAGGAUGAGUCGGCAAAACCGCGGGCGCGUCCGCCCCCGGCGUCGGAGCCUCGGGGACGCCUGCCACGGAGGUGAGACCGUGGCGACUCCAGGAACGCCAAUGUGACUCGGACGUCAUCCUUUUGUUGGGAUGAAUUGGGCAACUCACCUUCACAGGCCUAGAACCGGAAGCCGGAGAAACUCUGACAUGUACCCGACAUCAUUGUCCCUUAGGUUGGAUGCUCUCAAAUGCAGACCCUGAGGAGGAAAGAGAGAAUCCAUUCCCAGCAAUGGUGAUAUGAAAUUCUUCCUCCGUUCAGUCUGAUUGGCCAGCUUGAGUCAUGUGACUGCCCAAGAUCACUCACAUCCUCCUGGGACAUGCCAUGUGCGGAGCUGCUUAAACAGGGGUGCAGGGGCCUGGCACUCAUUGGGAUGACUGUGAGGGCUGAGAGGGGACCCCUUAGUCAUCCUCCUGGGGUUAGCCUGCUCCGAGGCACCUGCACAUGGCUAAGCAAUGGGCAGAUGUCCGAUGAAUACCAGGCCUGCUGUCACUGGCUGCCCCCUCGACUCACUUUGAUUUCAUCUGCAGUUGGGCUGCGAAGUUCCAUGCAAGCUCAGACUUGAGCCCCUGUGUCCCCACAUCCCCAUCCUUGGGGAGCUCUGCCCACACACAGGCACACACCAGAGGGGGACAGCAGGUGCUGAUCUCGGCCAUCCCAGGUGGGCAACUUGAGGAGUGUUCUAGACCAUUUGUUCUAGACCUUUCUAGAACCUUCUCCGAGACCAGCAGUAGGCAGCCCUUGGCUACAACAGUGGCCUCACUAACACACCCUCUGCCCUAUUCUUCUUGCCCCUCAUUUCUGCCUUCUGGGGUCCCCCCAUGUAAACACCUUGCACUCAAGACCCAGACUUUGCUAUCAGGGAGCCAAAACUGAGGCAAAGGGGCAAGUGACGUGGGGUCACCGCCUCUGGUUCUGCACCUUGCCUGGCUUAAAACUCAGGUGCGUGAUCUCGGGCCAGCCACCUGUUUGUGCCUUGGUUUCCUGAUUGCAAGGUGGACAGCAUGAUGUCACCUCAUCUGAGGGGUCUUGGAGAUAUAAGAAGAGAUGAUGUGAAGUCAAGUCUUAGGAAAGCGCAAAGCAUCCUGAACAUUUUAAAUGACGAACAGAUCUCGGCGACCUCCACGUCUGCACUUCCAGAGUAGUUUUGAGGCGUUAGUCCAGACUCUUCUUUGCAAGUGACAGAAGCCAAAGUGAACCAGCUGAUGGCGACAGGCUGCCCCUUGGCGGUGGGUGAAGCUGCACCUCCAGGAAAAGUGAGUUCAGAGAUUGUUCAGUCUGGGUGAUGCUGGCACCACUCAGGGGUGGAAUCGCUGGAGGAGAAUUGCGGCUUCUUUGAGGGGACCGUGAAAGGGGACAGCAUCCCUGCUCCACCUGAGCUGCCCUGGGCUGCAGGUAACAGGGCCCCCGUUCAGCCGACAGAACCCCUUAACCACUCAGUUUUGUGAAUAUUUUGAUGAAAUCGACACAGGGGCAUCAACAUAGGUUGGACGUCAUCACCGAAAGCUGAUUAUUAUGACUGAUGAUACGCACAAGCCUGGAUAUAUCCUAAUAUUAUAACUAUAUUCUUACUCUUGGGUAAUUACAUUAUACAUUAUACAAUUAUACGUUAUAUACUGCAUUUAAGUUUUCAUAGGCAUCCACAUCUAGGAUGAGCAAACAAAAUGGUUAAACAAUAAAGCCACUCCUCACAGAGUGUGAAGUUUCA